CGGUAGACGCUACGGACUUAAAUAAUUUGAGCUUUAGUAGAAAAACUUACUAGAUGUUAGCUUUCAAAUUCAGGGAAAUUUAGGUUGAAAAAAGUCUAAACAAUCCUGAGCCAAAUAUUUUAUUAUUUUUAAUAAGUUUAUUAAAAAAUAAUAAAAAAUAGGUGCAGAGACUCGAUGGAAGCUAUCCUAACGCAAAAAAGUUUAACAUUAUUUAAUUGAAAUUUAAAAGUUAAUUGAAAUAAAAAAAUUUAAUUAAAUUAUUUAUUAAUUAAAUAAUAAGCGAGGAUAAAGAUAGAGUCCAACUUUAUAUGUUAAUUUUUUUAACAACAAUUUAAUUUGUAGUAAAAAGAAAAUCCGUUGGCUUUAUUGACCGUGAGGGUUCAAGUCCCUCUAUCCCCAAAUUUAUGAAUUUUUUUUUUAUUGACAUAAUCCUUUAUGUUAUGUUAAGAUAGUCCAAAUAAAAAGCCGGAAUAGCUCAGUUGGUAGAGCAGAGGACUGAAAAUCCUCGUGUCAC
rnacentral:ncRNA from 1 species